AUUCUCUCCCUCUCAAAAUUUUUUUUAACGUCUCGUGUUCGCUCUGCCUUGUAUAGAGAAAUUAUUUUCUUUCUCCGCUCCCUGAGAGGAGUCUCUUCCUUAGCCACGGCGAGUUCGAACAAGAUCAAGAUGAUGGAACAUGUGAGAUAAAUGUAGAUGAGGAUGAAGAUACAACAAUCGUGUUAGAUCCCAUCUGAGCAAAGACGAAAGGUGCACCUAGAAAAAGAUUGAAGGCAUACAGUGAAAACGAACUAACCGUUGUGGCAUGUGCAACCAACAAGGUCAUAAUAUUCGGAGCUGUCUAAGUAUUUCAGUAAACAACGUUGACAAGCAAUACUUCCCAUCUGAUAUGACAUGGUCACAAGAAGACUACAACCUGCAUUGAUUUGAAAUAGAUGCUUGGAAAGUUACAGACUCUUUUCAUCAAAGAUUAUAAUCACAUGCUUUUCAACUAGCUGGUGGCCUUCUCUCUCGCUACAGUAGUGGUUGGACGAUUUGUCAUUAAGUUUUUUUUGGUGGAGAAAGAGGGUGGGUGAUGUUCAUCUUCCUAGAGACUUACACAAGGAUGUUUUGGUCAGCAAAAUCACUAUAUUACAAUCCGGGUUGGCAUUUCUUUUCAUUUUUUUGAUUAGGUUGGAGGAAAUGUAGAAAAUAGUUUUAAACUGUCAUUGGAGCUUUGACGGA